UACGGAGGGUGCGAGCGUUAAUCGGAAUUACUGGGCGUAAAGCGCGCGUAGGCGGCUUGGCAAGUCAGGCGUGAAAUCCCUCGGCCUAACCGGGGAACUGCGUUUGAAACUGCUAGGCUUGAGUUCGGGAGAGGGUGGCGGAAUUCCCGGUGUAGGAGUGAAAUCCGUAGAUAUCGGGAGGAACACCAGUGGCGAAGGCGGCCACCUGGACCGAUACUGACGCUGAGGCGCGAAAGCGUGGGGAGCAAACAGG
rnacentral:rRNA from 1 species